UGGGGAAUAUUGGACAAUGGGCGCAAGCCUGAUCCAGCAAUGCCGCGUGGGUGAAGAAGGUCUUCGGAUUGUAAAGCCCUUUCGACGGGGACGAUGAUGACGGUACCCGUAGAAGAAGCCCCGGCUAACUUCGUGCCAGCAGCCGCGGUAAUACGAAGGGGGCUAGCGUUGCUCGGAAUGACUGGGCGUAAAGGGCGCGUAGGCGGCUUGCACAGUCAGGCGUGAAAUUCCUGGGCUCAACCUGGGGACUGCGCUUGAGACGUGUGGGCUUGAGUGGGGAAGAGGGUCGUGGAAUUCCCAGUGUAGAGGUGAAAUUCGUAGAUAUUGGGAAGAACACCGGUGGCGAAGGCGGCGACCUGGUCCUUGACUGACGCUGAGGCGCGAAAGCGUGGGGAGCAAACA
rnacentral:rRNA from 1 species